rnacentral:rRNA from 1 species
AGGACGAACGCUGGCGGCGUGCUUAACACAUGCAAGUCACGGGGGCCCGCAAGGGUAACCGGCGAACGGGUGCGUAACACGUGAGCAACCUGCCUAGAUGUGGGGGAUAGCCGGCCCAACGGCCGGGUAAUACCGCAUACGGUCACGAGGAGGAGUCUCCUUGUGAAGAAACCUCCGGGGCGAUUUAGAGGGGCUCGCGGCCUAUCAGCUAGUUGGCGGGGUAAUGGCCCACCAAGGCUUCGACGGGUAGCUGGUCUGAGAGGAUGGCCAGCCACAUUGGGACUGAGAGACGGCCCAGACUCCUACGGGAGGCAGCAGUGGGGAAUCUUGCGCAAUGGCCGAAAGGCUGACGCAGCGACGCCGCGUGUGGGAGGACGCCCUUCGGGGUGUAAACCACUGUUGCCCGGGACGAACAUCCUCUUUCGAGAGGACUGACGGUACCGGGUGAGGAGCACCGGCUAACUCCGCGCCAGCAGCCGC